rnacentral:rRNA from 1 species
UACGGAGGGAGCUAGCGUUGUUCGGAAUUACUGGGCGUAAAGCGCACGUAGGCGGCUUUGCAAGUUAGAGGUGAAAGCCCGGGGCUCAACUCCGGAAUUGCCUUUAAAACUGCAUCGCUAGAAUUGUGGAGAGGUAAGUGGAAUUCCGAGUGUAGAGGUGAAAUUCGUAGAUAUUCGGAAGAACACCAGUGGCGAAGGCGACUUACUGGACACAUAUUGACGCUGAGGUGCGAAAGCGUGGGGAACAAACAGG